rnacentral:rRNA from 1 species
ACUUAGGUAAAUCCGGGUUGCUCUCUUUAAUGAGAAUGCUGAGAGUUGAUGACGAGUCUCGCAAGAGGCGAAGUAAUUGAUGCCAUGCUUCCAAGAAAAGCUUCUAAGCUUCAGGUAAUAGAGAAUCGUACUGUAAACCGACACAGGUGAUCAGGUAGAGAAUACCAAGGCGCUUGAGAGAACUCGGGUGAAGGAACUAGGCAAAAUGGCACCGUAACUUCGGGAGAAGGUGCGCCGGUGUUGGUGAUAGGACUUGCUCCUUGAGCUGACGCUGGUCGAAGAUACCAGGCCGCUGCGACUGUUUAUUAAAAACACAGCACUCUGCAAACACGAAAGUGGACGUAUAGGGUGUGACGCCUGCCCGGUGCCGGAAGGUUAAUUGAUGGGGUUAGCUUCGGCGAAGCUCUUGAUCGAAGCCCCGGUAAACGGCGGCCGUAACUAUAACGGUCCUAAGGUAGCGAAAUUCCUUGUCGGGUAAGUUCCGACCUGCACGAAUGGCGUAAUGAUGGGGGCACUGUCUCCACCCGAGACUCAGUGAAAUCGAAAUCGCAGUGAAGAUGCUGUGUACCCGCGGCUAGACGGAAAGACCCCGUGAACCUUUACUAUAGCUUCACAGUGGACUUUGAGCCUGCUUGUGUAGGAUAGCUGGGAGACAUUGAAGCGGUGACGCUAGUCAUCGUGGAGUCGUCCUUGAAAUACCAGCCUGGCAUGUUCGAGGUUCUAACCCAGGUCCCUUAUCGGGAUCGGGGACAUUGUGUGGUGGGUAGUUUGACUGGGGCGGUCUCCUCCCAAAGAGUAACGGAGGAGCACAAAGGUACCCUCAGCACGGUCGGACAUCGUGCAACGAGCGUAAAGGUAGAAGGGUGCUUGACUGCGAGACUUACAAGUCGAGCAGGUGCGAAAGCAGGUCUUAGUGAUCCGGUGGUUCUGUAUGGAAGGGCCAUCGCUCAACGGAUAAAAGGUACUCCGGGGAUAACAGGCUGAUACCGCCCAAGAGUUCACAUCGACGGCGGUGUUUGGCACCUCGAUGUCGGCUCAUCACAUCCUGGGGCUGAAGCCGGUCCCAAGGGUAUGGCUGUUCGCCAUUUAAAGUGGUACGCGAGCUGGGUUUAGAACGUCGUGAGACAGUUCGGUCCCUAUCUGCCGUGGGCGUUAGAAAGUUGAGAAGAGUUGCUCCUAGUACGAGAGGACCGGAGUGGACGAACCGCUGGUGUUCGGGUUGUCAUGCCAAUGGCAUUGCCCGGUAGCUACGUUCGGACGGGAUAACCGCUGAAAGCAUCUAAGCGGGAAGCCUCCUUCAAGAUUAGCUUUCUCUGAGACUUUAAGUCUCCUGAAGGGCCGUGGAAGACCACCACGUUGAUAGGCUGGGUGUGGAAGCGUUGUGAGGCGUUGAGCUAACCAGUACUAAUUGCCCGUGCGGCUUGACCAU